GGACCAUAGCUCAGUGGUAGAGCAGCUGGCCUCUUCAUGCAGAAGGUGUCAGGUUCAAGCCCUGGAGACCUCCA